CUGAGUUUCCCUGGCGACAUUGUCCGUGUCCAGGCCUGGCUCCCCUAAACAGCCUUGCUCACUCUGGACCCCUGGCUGCCUCUGCUGCAGGAAAAGCCUGGCGCACCCAUCUGCAAAGCUCCAGGAGCAGAGGGUGAGCCCGGAGGCGAGAGGGGCGGCGACCCCCCAGUCAGGAGGGCUGUUUUUUGCCAACCCGAUUAAUUGGCUGUGGCUGCCUGAUGUCGUGAGGAGGAUUCCGAAGCUGAGUGGAGGCUUGGGAGGAGCUCUGUGGGUAUUGGUGGCAUCCCCCUGCCUGUGGAGGGUGAGGUGACAGCCGGGGGACGCUUCCUGACCUGGCCCAGAUCGUGGAGAGGGAAGUGCAGGCGGAGGGAGGAGCCACACACUGCAGGUGCAGCUCCGUGAGAGCCUGGAGCCCGGGCCUAGUCUUGGCUUGACGGAAGCCACAAGGCCAAGAACCUUUGAAGAGGUCAGCUCCACUCUCACAGCUGGCAUCCCAGGCUCAUCCAGGCAGACAAGAUGAGCGAGGGUUGAGAGGAGGAGUGUGGAGGAGGGGAGGCCACUCCGGGUGCCCCCCAUGCACCCCACCAGGGCUGAGGUGCCCACGACUGGGCAGAAGCCGGGCAGCAGGUGGAUCUGCUGUUGACCGUGGCCCCACUGCAGAUGCCCUCCACUGCGGCUGCCCUCGAGAGUGGCCCAGGUCUCCUGCACGGGCCAGGCACUCAACUGAAUUGGGUCUCACAGCCCUGCCCACAGAGGGUGCUCUGGCUGGGGCCUGGCCCCGGUGUUUUCAGAGCAGGGGACAUCGGUGAGAAUGCCUCCACCUUUGCUACAGAGACACCUCCCAACCUCUGUGGGGCUCUUUCCACUCUUGAUCACACAAAGAAGCCCACGACACUGAAUGGCUUUCAAAACAAGCCUCAGAAAUGAAAACCGGCUUUUCAAGGGGUGAUAGGUCUGGAAAUGGGGAAAAAAGCAGAGUCCUCAUCACUCAGAUAUCCU
rnacentral:lncRNA from 1 species